rnacentral:sRNA from 1 species
GCUGGGCAUGGUGGUGCACACCUGUAAUCUCAGCAGCUGGAGAGGCUGAGACAGAAGAAUCAUGAGUUGAAAGCAAGCCUCAGCACUGGAGAGGCACUUAGCAAUUCGGUGAGACCCUGUCUCUA